UUUCUCUUGCUUUCUACGUAGAUAAAGUUAGGUUACACAUUUUUCCGAUUUAUUGUGAUAAAAUUUGAUAAAACCAUGAAUGAAGAAGAUUAAUCGGCAUUAUUGCUUUUAAAUGUUCUCUCCGCGUUUAAAUCAAUAACAGCAAACGUUGUUUUUUGUUAUGUUUUUUUGCGAAAUCAGAGAAUCUGUCGUACUUACGUCAAAAUCAUCUCGCGUAUGACGAGCGACGCCUUCGACAAAUGAGCGGAAUUUAAUUAAGGAUGCUAUCCAAUUUGUGACGCAACCCAUGCAACUGGUAAAUGAUAUCGAUAUACAUACCAACGCGAAUUUGCCACAGGCUGGAAACGGUUGAUGAGAGAUGAAGCACAAACGACAUGCCAAUCUAAUUACUCUCAUCUGCAAAUUAUCAGGUGAACGAUCCGAUCAAAUUAUUCGCACAUUAACCAAUAAUUGAGAGAAGGCGGAACAUUUGAAGAAGUCGCAAGAAGAGAAAUGUGCGAGGAGAUGGACGUCGGCACCUCCGAACGCGAUUCCCAAAGCAAUUCCGGAUCUGACAGUGCCGACUAUCGUUUUGCCGAUCGACGGGAGACACAGGUGGUGGGAGAUCGCGAGCGCAUGUCGCGUCACAUCUCGUCGCGGCUACGUUGUAGAUAGGACAAUCCAAUAUCCCGGAGCCCCAGAAACGCCUCGCAGACUGACGGCUCUACCUGGUUUAGAGGUGCAAGGCUUUGCUACAUCCCUUACGCUGGCUCGCGUGACGUUGUCCUCUAAGCAGUUUCAUCCCCCGUCUGACUUGGUAUCGAUAACACGCGUGUAGCGGAAUAUCGAUCUUUUAUUAUUCGCGAAUAUUCGGCUUUGCGAUUUUCAAACCUCGCGUUUUCAUAUUCAGAUUUACUCGCCAUUUAUAUCGCGACAGUCACGCAAUAUAUUCCACAAUAAUAUGCACGAUCGUGCGCUAUAUAGGUCUUUUUCUAUUUGUCUUUUUUUUUUUGUACAAUUUCAAAUAUCACUUCGGCGAAUGUAAUCUAGAGGGACUGAUGUAGGUUAACCGGUGGAGUAAAGUUCAAGAGCGGUUGAACAUAAAAUUCAAAUCACGGCAUGUGGUAGCCGCAUUUUUACGACGAACAAGUAUAUCCGCUGAGCGUAAGCGACAUUUGCACUUUUUUCGGGUGUAUAUAACGUACUGGUAGCUGCGCGCACACGGGCCACGGCAGGCAUUUCCAUGAAAAUUAAUGUCAAUUCGCGAGGCUCGUUUCGACUAUCCCCCGAUGAGACGCCACGUCCGCUUUAAUUUUCAACGAUACAAGACUGUGCAAUUACGCGAAACGGGAGAGCGAACCCUUUACACAGGCGCUCGCUCCCCCGCCAUCGCCAUUUCCCAUUUUCUCCGCAUCUCAUAAAUUAAGUUAACGUUCUUGACGUUUGACGUUUAAAAAUUUUGUGUUUUAAAAUAUUGGUAAUGCGCGGGAAAUCAAGUACGAAAUACUCGGAGAAAUAUAAUUCGGCUUCAUGUUUAUCUGGCGCAUGCGUUUGAUGUAUGUUAAUUCUCGCGGAAAGAGGUGUUAUCGCGAUCGAUCGAACACGGCUCCUCUCAGUUUUCGCAUUAAAACUAAGAACUGUUCCGAGAAUAAGUACCGCGUUCACGAAAAGACUUUGGCGCCAUAAUUCUUAUCUCGCCCAUAUACAUCGAGAGGAGCAGCGGAAUGUUUGAAGUUCGGCAAAAAAAAAAAAAAAACCGUGAAAAUUCCCAUUUCCCAGGCCGGUGCCAAAUAAUUCUUCUCUCGCGGCGGAGGCUUAUUAUGUCUCCGAAGCAUUUUCCAGCGCGGUUUAUUUGAAUAUCGCUAUGUAACCGAAAUUUGUGGGACGCGCGUCUGCUCAAAGACGUAUAACGUUUCCAAUGCGCGUCUCGCCUCUGCGACGUCUCUCUUUUAUGUUGCGUGUGCGAAACCACGCGUGUAGGUAAGUGCUUUUGCGAUUGUGCGACAUGUUACGCGCGCACACAGGAAAGCUCUCACACAGCUAAAGGGUCGGUUUCCAAGUCAAUAACUUUCACAGACAAAGUCAAAGUUCGCCACGCACAAUGCGCGCGUCACGCAAUCGAUAAAAUCCGUUUUCUCCGGACUAGCCAGUAGUAAAUUUACUAUUAAAUUGUCGUUCUUAUUGAACGCUAAGAAUCUGCGUCGCAAGCAGAUGACGCGAGAGAAAAAAUAGACGGUAAUCAUAAAAUGAAAAUGUCCUAGGGUGUAAUGCAAGUUACUGCAGUCAUAAACAUUAAAUGCAGCAUUUUGAAGUACUUUCUGCUGCCGCGAUAAAGUGUUGUUUGUACGUGAAACGUUAAACAAUGUUCGAGAAUCUUAUCUUGAAAAUUACCUUCCGGCAACGUGGCAUUAUCUCCGACGAAAGUACAAGACUAAGUGUACCGCAUAAAGGAGAGAAGGGCAACGCAAUAAAAAAUGAACGAUAAAGAACGGCAAAAUGGUUGCCGCGCGAGAAGAAAAAGAAGUGCAAAACUCAAUUAUUUCCUUUUGCCGGGGCCGUCGCGAAACAGCGAGAUUUCUAUUGUUCGCCGAAAUAAAGAAAACUUUUGUACACGGCCGUUUCCACGUGCAUGUAAUAUGUCCUAAUGAAACUGUUCUAUUAAUUUAUUCACCAAUUGUAGAAUUUAAAUACUCUGC